GUCUGGCUGGAGCUGGACCGGCUGGUGGCGCCAGGCAGUGCCAAGCACCCCUGGCAGCCCUGCAGAGGGUUCUCAAAUCCAGAUUUCAUUCUGCAGUCCCGGCAGUGUUUUGACGACUGCCUCACUAAAGGAAGCUAAAAGCUGUGCUGAUGCCUCCCAGACGAGCCUCGUUGGAAGCACAGAACCUUCACGGCUCGGAGCCGCUGACACCGUGACAAAGGGAGCCCUGCUCAGGAGAAAGAGCAAAUGAGAGGCAGUUGCACUUUUUCAGGUGUCAGGCUGGAGGAAGCCACUUGAAGAUGAAUCUACCUCUGCCUUAGGAUUGCCUGAUGGCCUGUGCCAUUCCAUGUUAUAUCUACUGAUUUGCUCCCUGUAUUCAAAGAUUUUUUUUUUUUACUUAAUUCUCUCUUACUGACCCUGAGAGUGACCAUAUUUUUAACCAAUUUGGUCUUCAGCCUCAAAACUUAGCUCUUUCCUUUUGUGGUCCCCGAAUCCUAUCACGUGUCAUGGUGGCUGUGAAGAUGUUUGCCAAGCCUGCUGAGAAGGCUCAUCUGUGGCAUCCAAAAGCAGAGAUUUCAACUCUGGACCCCUGUGACCUGCCUUUGUAAUUAUGGAUACCCAGCACUGUUUUGAAAUAUCAGUGGACAUCCAGUUUUUAAAAGCCCUCAGAGCUUUGGGAGACACCCCUUUAUCUCUCUGGCAUGUCAGAGAACCGAUUCAACCCUUCUCAUCUCCUCCUCCUUCCCUCUCUUGGGCCAUCAGGAUGCGGCAGCAACUCACUGUGCAUGUUUUUACAGCUCUUCUCCAGUAAUGCUGCCAUUUCCACUGCAGACCACAGGAUAAAAGGACCGCUUCACCGUGGCCCAGGAUACCCUUUUAAGUAGGAGGGGGAGAAGAAAGUACUGCUUUGAUCUAAAAUUAAGCAAACGUUCUUCAAUAAACCCACCAUGAGACUUGACCACUAAUGGUGACCAGCAGUGGCUUUGUCAUGGCCCUGCCCACUGGGGGCAGGCACAUGCCGGGGCCAGGGCAGGCUGCCAGCUGGUUUGAGGUUGCACUGUUGCCCCAGGACAUCGUAUGAGUAGAGGGUUAACCACCUUAGCCAAGAGUAAUUUGGUCUGGUGAGUUCUCCACCUUCAGGACAAAAGCAUUUCAGAACCAUCCUAACAAUAGUGUUCCCAUAAGUAACCAGACACUGUUUGUAUCCAUAGCAACAUGGCUCCAUGAGCCCUGCUUCCGAGGAGCAGCUGCCCUUCCUGGGCACUGUCAAGAGUUGUUCUUCUCUGACAUCCACACCCUUCUUUACCUGGCACAUACCCCAGCCCAGGCACCAGGCAUCCAGGGCCUUCUAUGGCUGUCCGGAUGCAUUCCUUCACAGCUGGAAUGUGGUUGGCUUGUUGACUUCUGUUCCCAGCAUAGUGAACAGUGGGCACUAUAAGCCAGUAGGCACUCAAUUGAUGAUUCUUCAAUGAAAUAAUUGAUGCCACUUUUAGGUCAGUCUUUCUUGUACGUUACACCUUCUGUUGUUCAACAGAGCCCCACAAUAUCCCAGAACUUGGAGGUCUUAUCUCGGGGUUUCUCAGAUGUUGGAGUACCCAGGUAUCACCUGCUGAGCCAGUUUCCCUGGCCUCACCUGCAGGGGCUCUGAGUCAGUAAAUCUGGGGCAGGCCCAGUACUUUGCAUGUGAGCACAGACCCAGGUGUUUCUGAACCUGGUGGUCCAGGGACUGCUGCAGGAAGGAGCCAAUAGGACUGCAUGCCUUAGAGGCAGUGGGUCUCAUCCAUCCCUAUCUAUGGCACUGACUACAGGCCAUGUCCAGGCCACAUGGGCACAUGCUAUUAUAAUUAUUUUGUGUGAUGGAUGAGUUACAGAACUGGAGCCCUAAGACCUGAGUUCUAGUUUCAGCUCUGCCAGUUGCUGGCUGAUUGAAACUGAACAAGCCACCUGCCUUCCCUGAGACUGUCUCUUCUCCUGUGAAAUUAGGGCAUUAGAAUACAUGAAGACCCCUUUAUGUCCUUAAUAACCUGUAAGUUUAAGAACCUAGGGAAUCUCCAUGCUGGUGGCUGCGGUUAUAUCCCCUUAUCCUCAACUCGUGAAGAAAGAGUCAAAAAUGGCAGCAGGGUUGUGUCAACUGCUCUCCUCAGCAGCUAUCAUAAGGGAAUUGCCUUUGUCAUUUUCCCCAGCCAUCACCACACUCCCACACGGCCACCAUCACCUAAACCAUCUGGCAGUGGGGGUUACCUCCUAAAUCUAAGACGCAGAGACCCACCGCAGGCCUUUCUUUCUGGCUGCCCUCCACUCCCACCCAGAGGCUCAGUUUUGCUGGGCUGCACACCUCCGAGGACUCAGUUCUUUGUGUUUCAUGUUGUUUCAUAUCCACUAGUGUUACAGAAACUGCUGCAAACCAGGGACCAAAAGUCCAUAGGUUCUAAUUCUAGCUGUGACACUAGUGAGAUGAGUGACUGCUGGCAAGUUACUUUAUCUAUCUGACCUCACCUCCCAUGUACAAAAUUGGGUCUGUAUGCACAUUUGUGGUUCUAAAUCCUGGAGUCCAAAUCAGAGUUCUUUGUGCAAAAUAUACGUAGCUAGGUCCUAACCUCGGAGAUCCUGACUCAGUCUGGGGAAAGGCGCAGAUCUUGGGGAGAAAACAACUCUCUAGAAGAGUCUCGCCUUCAGUGAGUGACAAGAUCUCUCCUGUCUCUCGGUUCACAAUGUUACCCUAACUAAUCCAUCCUCUGAUGUCACCUGCUAACAACUUCCCCUGUGGCAUCAAACCAGUAGCCCAUUUGCAGCUAGUACAAACACUUCUUUACAUUUAAGUUUUGUUUACGAGAUUUAGCCUACAAUCAUAGAGGCUGCCAGCUGGGUUUCAAAUGUGUAUGUUCCAUUGCUAAUAGGAAAAACUGCAUCUAUUAGAAAAAUUCUCUCUGGGAGCUGAGCACAGAGGCAGGCCUUGUAUUGCAAACAUUUGAAAAGCCAUAAGCAGGUAUUCUGGACUGUGUUUUAGAUCACCUGAGAACAUUUCUUGAACACUAGUAUUUGCUUAGAGUGACAAACCUAUUAAGUGGUUCUUUCAGGUAAGUUUGCAUCCAAGCAAUGUCGUCUGAAUCGCAGGAGGAAGUCAGGAGUUGUGUCUGGCUUUCUGGCCAUACAAAUGGCAUAUGGGAAAGUCAUUGUAUAUUAUUAAUAUCCUUUGAUGUAUAUUAUUAUGACUUUCUCACGGUAGUAAUGUUGUUGGUUUUUAUUAAUGUUAUUUUUAUAGCAAUGCUAAUAUUAUGAGCUAAAAGUUUCUGAGCAUCUGCUGGGUGCCAAAAAUUCUUAUAAAUGCUUUACAUGCAUUAGCUCCUAACAACACUUUGAAGUAAUUCUUAUUGUCCUUACUUGACAUAUACAGGAAUAAAAACCUGACCAUUAGACCGAGCGUGGUGGCUCACGCCUGUAAUCCCAACACUUUGGGAGGCCGAGGCAGGCGGAUCACCUGAGGUCAGGAGUUUGAGACCAGCCUGGCCACCAUGGUGAGACCCCGUCUCUACUAAAAACACACAAAAAAUUAGCCGGGCGUGGUGGUGGGUACUUGUAAUCUCAGCUACCCGGGAGGCUAAUGCAGGAGAAUCGCUUGAACCCAGGAGGCGGAGGUUGCAGUGAGCCAAGAUUGCGCCAUUGCACUCCAGCCUGGGCAACAAGAGCAAAACUCUUUCAAAUAAACAAACAAAACCUAAGCAUUUGAGGGGUUUGGCCUGGGCAGUGGAGCUUGUGAGCUAUAUGAGCUGGAAUCUGAGUCAAGGCUGGGCUGGUGAAAGGAGUUCACUCAAGUUCCCAAGGUAUUCUGUCCUCCAGGACUCUGAAUCACCUGGGAGGAGAAGGAAUUGUGGCGGGCCUAACACCUUUUCUUUCCCAAACACCAAGAGCAGGUUCUUUCUGUUACAUCCAUUGAGGUCACAUUCUUGAAGUGCAUUUUGAGGAAGUCAUUAUUUUCGCUACAGCAGGGACUGAUGUAUCAGUCUAUUAGAAUUCAGAAAAAAGUAAGCAAACAAAAAACGUGUUGGAAUUAUUCUCUUCUAGCAUUUUGAAAUGUACAAUGGUUAAUGUUAACUAUAGCCACCAUGAUGUAUUGAAGACCAGGUCUUAUUCUUUUUAUCUAACUGUACAUUUGUACCCAUUAACCUAAUGCUCAUAGCAUCAAGAAAAGAUCAAUAUUUAAGGUGACAAAUAUCCCAAUUAUGCUGAUUUGAUUAUAUGAAUGUGUUGAAUUAUCAUAUGUACUCCCAAAAUAUGCACAUCUAAGAUGUAUCAAUAAAAAUAAAGACAAAAAUUAAAGCUUUUACAGUAGAAAAAAGGCCAGAUCAAGGAAAGAGACAGGAAAGCAGAUGAUUUUACCUGCCUUCCCUAAGUGCACUCGGGAAGAGAAGGAUCAUCUCAAAAAGGGUUAAGGAAUGAGAUCAUGGAAAUCACUUACACACGCGGUCGCGGCUUGGACUUGGCUAGUGAGGCCGGCCUGCCCACUCUGCUUCCAUUCACUCAGACACAGCUUGGGCUUUUCCUCCAAGUGCUGGUAGCAGUCAUUUAUGAGGGAGGAAAGGAGCAGAAUAAACACACUUCUCAGCUCCCAGGCACUCUGUGUGUGUAGACAGAGGCUCGGGUGGAUGAGAAACCUCAGCACACCCAUGAUCUUUGUCAAGGCUGGAGACUUGCAGUGCACACUCCAGGCCUGUGGAAAUGGUUCCACCUGGGUCCCUCUAUUGCUCCUCAGCUGCCACAUUAGGGCACCUCGCCCAAGUCCACGUGUGGGAUGUGCCUGCCUGUGGCCCACCUAACGUAUGCAGUCUGUCUGGAGUGCCAGGCACAGGCUCCUCACGUGGGCUUCAGCUGGAAUUGAAAACUGCAUUUCUCAAGGUCCAGAGACCACACUAAAAUGGUGGCUGACGUGGAGACAGAGGAAGCUCCUUUCUAGUUAUGGCCACAAGGCAGGAUGCUGAGGUGUUGUCUAGGAUCACAUUGCCUUUGCCUCGUAGGCUCAGUUGGAUCUCCAAGUGGCGGUACCGUUCUCUCCACUUCAAAAAUACACAGAAACAUGUGGAAAUGUUCUGUCAUCCAGAAUGAAAAGCAUGUGCACCAAAUUUUCACAGACCUGAUUCGAAUGUAGAUAAAAGUGCAAAAUCCAGAGGAGGGAACACGCUAUAGAAAUCCUGUCUUCUAUACUAUAAUUUAAUCAUCGUGUGCCACAGAAUGUCUUUGCAUAAAUUACAACCACAAUAAUAGCAUCACUUUCACAAAAGGUGGCCUCUAAUCGAUUUGACUCUCCAAGAGAUGGCUGGGUUUUUCAAAGCAGAGAAAUGAUGACCUGCAGUCUUAAAGAGCUGUUGAUUGCACCUGGGGCUCCCGUGGCCGGCGCCCAUCGAGCAGCCCAUCCUGGCUGUUCCCUUGUUCAGCUGAUUUUCUUUUUUAUCUUGACAUUUGCUAACCGCUUGGUUUUUAUUUUCCGGGAAGAGAGGAUUAUUGGCAACUGGCACCACCCCCAUGUCUGGAGGAGGGACGUUUCUAGGAUGACCCCCAGAGUGGAGAAAUAGCCGAGGUAACCUUUUUGCUAUAAAUUUCUUCCCCUGCCUCCGUCUUCUGUUCCUUUCCUUCCCCCCAUCCCUUGAACAAACAUGAUUUUUAAAUUCCCCUCAUCAUUUUUAGUGCUUUGGAGUCUUCUCAGAUGUGGACGAAAACAGUUCGUGAGCUGCGCUGAGCAGUUCCGGAGCCCUGGCUCCCUUUCCCCGGGGCCUAAGCCCCCAAGAAGAGAGUCUUUUUCAGGACCAUGGGAGCAGGUUUUAAAAGGCUUUCUAUUGAAGCGAGGCCGUCAGCCAGCCGUGCGUGUCCGCAUUGUGGUGGUCCCAGAGCCUUAUGGACAAUCCUUUGAAAGAAUAGGGUUGGGAAGAUUCUCAGGACAGAAGCGGCUAAUUUCCAUCCUUGGAGCUUUAUCUCACAAAGGAUAUUUGAUAGAAAGAAAAAAUGGAGUCUGUGGAAGCUUUGCUCCUAUUUCCAAAUGGGUUGACUCUGGAUGCAAAGGAAUAUUUUCACAUUUUUCCCAAUAGAGGAAAGCUUUUAGUGCCAAAAUCCUCAAAGGAGAAUGAACAUCACACAUUACACAUGUAUGUAUAAGGGUAGAAUAAUAUGGUACAAAAUCCAGUGAGUACAAGCACACAAUGGGCAUUCAGUACAGGUUAAAUGAAUAUGCAAGAAAAAUUCAAAGUUGUUGUUGCUGUUUAUAAGGGUGGUGAUUAUUAAUAGAUGCAAAUGUAUACUCCCUUUUGUAAUCACAGCAAGGUAAAAGUCUUAUCUCUGAUCAUUACCAUGAGGACACUUAAAUAUUUAGCCCUGGGGACAAAAUGGUUUGUAGGCAGGACGUCCUGUGUGUUUAUGCACACAUAAAAUGCCGCCCUGGCCCCAGGACUGCAAGGCCUCUGACUGCAUCAUUUACAUUCAGGGGUGGUCCUGAUCAACAUGGCCCCAUAGAAUAAUAGAGGGAAUUUCAGAUAGUACAGCGUUAGAUAAUAAGCGCUUUCCACUGACUCUGUUUACAUGUGGAAAUUAGAAGCGCUGAGUGAAAAAGAGUAGUGAAAAUAAAGACAGGAAGUAUAUACACAACAAACAAUUUUUCCUCUCUGCAAAUCGGAUUAUUCCCUUGCGCACCCCCUGCAACCCCCAUCUAUGAUGUCAAACUCAAUGGACUGUUGAACUAAUAGCCUGGGAGUCACCAGCGUGAGAGUGUGUAUGUCCACGCUGUGCAACUUGAAUUAGGCUGGCCACCACGGCUGUGUACAGCUACCCCAGGAAGAGCCCCUCCCCUCCUCAGCAUUUCAGUGGAAAACGUGCUGACUGGGACCCAGCUACAGGAAUCACAUUUGGGCAGAGAGAAUGGCUUAUCCUUUUCAUGAGGGGUCUUGACUCAAGAACACUUGCCAAUUCUGCUUGACCGUUUCCCAUUCUUUACGGUUUUUCCUAUCACUCCUUAGACUAAGAAAGAAAAAUCUGUAGGAAUGAUUCGGUGGGAUUUCUCUUUUGUUCCUAAAUAAACCUUAUCCCUGGAUGAGCUCGUUCACACUAGGGAAGUUACUACCACUGGCUUUGAAGCCAGGCAGAUCUGGGUGUUCCUUCCCAUGUCUUUAUUUGCUUUGUGGGGGAUCUUUUCCCAGCCUUUCUGCUUUCAUCCUUCUUAGUGAGAGCUUCUUCAGCUGCAGAACAGGGGCAAUAAUGCCUACCUUGCUGGGUUGCAGCAGAGAAUGCUGCUUAUGCAGGAAAAUAAAAAAACACAUAGCACACAAUGGGAGCUUAAUACAUAAGAAUUAUAAACAGUCUUUUGUGUAUAUAUCAAUGUAUUUCAUGUCCUUAAUGUUUAUUUAAAGCAAGUACAUUCUUUUGAAUUAAGCAUAAAAAGGUCAUAAAAUGCCAGAGAUGUGCUUAUUUGAAAUGUUUGCAAUGCUUUGCAAUUGUUUUAAAAUAAGGAGAUGAUAUAACAGGGUGUUACCUCCGCCACUAAUUAGUUACGUAAUCUUAGAUUAUGUCACUUCCCUGGGUCUCAGUUGUAAACAGUUGCUUAAUAAAUAAUGUUUGUUUUGCUUUCAUCAAUAUCAUGAGGCAACCCACACAGGCAGGCUGGAGAGGAGUGGCAAGAAGCUCACCUUCGGACAGUAGUGAGCAGAGCAACAGAGGCCCCCAGAGACUUCGCACAACGGAAAAGAGAUCAACUCCCGCAUUUGCAGGGGACGUGAAAGUGCAAUACUGUGAGGAACAAAAGGAAGCCUCAUCUCUGGAAGCCGGGAGGAAAAACAGUCGGUGUAGACAGCAGCGGCAGGGACCAGAGCUGACCAGAAGGCUGGGUCCCAGCAACAAUUAGAGACAGGCAGCAGCUGAGGCCCCUUCUCUCAUUCAUCAGGAGGAAGGGGAGUCAUUCCAGCCUUCACUGCCUGUGGACGGCAACAACUUCACUGUGGAAGACGCCAGUAGGUAAGAAGUUGCUCAUGGAGCCCAUAUGAAUAAAGACAACAUUGAACCUGACUCCUUGGCUGCCUGUCUCCUUCCCCUUUCUACAGGAGAAGUAAAGGCAUUUGCAUGGGCUUGAUCCACAAUGACUCAGCUUUCAGCCAUCGCAAUUGUGCUAUGCUCAGCUGUCAAGUGUGUUUUAAAUCUCCUACUACAUUUUUUUUAAAGUUUUUCUGCCAUCCUUUGUACUCCUUUUUAAAAACUUAUCCAGGAAGUGGUAUGAAAUCUCCAGUACUUCUCGGCACACACAGAUGCGUCUUUUUCUGUUUAUUGUUUUCCCUCUGAGAGUUGUAGUGUUCAGUUGGUUACACCAAGAGAAGUACUUGGCUGGGACUGUUAAAAAAAGUGUCACAAAGCA
rnacentral:lncRNA from 1 species